AUUCUACUCCCUCCAUUGCACAAUACUACAUGCCUUCUAUUUGUCAAAAUAUAUAUGUAUCUAGACAUGUCUUAGUAUAUAGGUACAUCCAUUUUUUGACAAAUGGAAGUCAAGUAUUUUGGAACGGAGGGAGUACACA
rnacentral:pre_miRNA from 1 species